UUAAGCGACUAAGCGUACACGGUGGAUGCCCUGGCAGUCAGAGGCGAUGAAGGACGUGCUAAUCUGCGAAAAGCGCCGGCGAGGUGAUAUGAACCCUUGACCCGGCGAUGUCCGAAUGGGGAAACCCAGUGCAAUCCGUUGCACUAUCGUUAACUGAAUACAUAGGUUAACGAGGCGAACCGGGGGAACUGAAACAUCUAAGUACCCCGAGGAAAAGAAAUCAACCGAGAUUCCCCCAGUAGCGGCGAGCGAACGGGGAGCAGCCCGGAGUCUGAAUCAGCUUGUGUGUUAGUGGAACGGUCUGGAAAGUCCGACGGUACAGGGUGAUAGUCCCGUACACGAAAAUGCACAUGCUGUGAACUCGAAGAGUAGGGCGGGACACGUGGUAUCCUGUCUGAAUAUGGGGGGACCAUCCUCCAAGGCUAAAUACUCCUGACUGACCGAUAGUGAACCAGUACCGUGAGGGAAAGGCGAAAAGAACCCCGGCGAGGGGAGUGAAAAAGAACCUGAAACCGUGUACGUACAAGCAGUGGGAGCCUCUUUAUGGGGUGACUGCGUACCUUUUGUAUAAUGGGUCAGCGACUUAUAUUCUGUAGCAAGGUUAACCGUAUAGGGGAGCCGAAGGGAAACCGAGUCUUAACUGGGCGUUAAGUUGCAGGGUAUAGACCCGAAACCCGGUGAUCUAGCCAUGGGCAGGUUGAAGGUUGGGUAACACUAACUGGAGGACCGAACCGACUAAUGUUGAAAAAUUAGCGGAUGACCUGUGGCUGGGGGUGAAAGGCCAAUCAAACCGGGAGAUAGCUGGUUCUCCCCGAAAGCUAUUUAGGUAGCGCCUCGUGAAUUCAUCUUCGGGGGUAGAGCACUGUUUCGGCUAGGGGGCCAUCCCGGCUUACCAACCCGAUGCAAACUACGAAUACCGAAGAAUGUUAUCACGGGAGACACACGGCGGGUGCUAACGUCCGUCGUGAAGAGGGAAACAACCCAGACCGCCAGCUAAGGUCCCAAAGUCAUGGUUAAGUGGGAAACGAUGUGGGAAGGCACAGACAGCCAGGAUGUUGGCUUAGAAGCAGCCAUCAUUUAAAGAAAGCGUAAUAGCUCACUGGUCGAGUCGGCCUGCGCGGAAGAUGUAACGGGGCUAAACCAUGCACCGAAGCUGCGGCAGCGACACUAUGUGUUGUUGGGUAGGGGAGCGUUCUGUAAGCCGUUGAAGGUGUGCUGUGAGGCAUGCUGGAGGUAUCAGAAGUGCGAAUGCUGACAUAAGUAACGAUAAAGCGGGUGAAAAGCCCGCUCGCCGGAAGACCAAGGGUUCCUGUCCAACGUUAAUCGGGGCAGGGUGAGUCGACCCCUAAGGCGAGGCCGAAAGGCGUAGUCGAUGGGAAACAGGUUAAUAUUCCUGUACUUGGUGUUACUGCGAAGGGGGGACGGAGAAGGCUAUGUCAGCCGGGCGACGGUUGUCCCGGUUUAAGCAUGUAGGCGGAGGUUCCAGGUAAAUCCGGUACCUUUUAACGCUGAGGUGUGAUGACGAGGCACUACGGUGCUGAAGUGAUAAAUGCCCUGCUUCCAGGAAAAGCCUCUAAGCAUCAGGUAACACGAAAUCGUACCCCAAACCGACACAGGUGGUCAGGUAGAGAAUACCAAGGCGCUUGAGAGAACUCGGGUGAAGGAACUAGGCAAAAUGGUGCCGUAACUUCGGGAGAAGGCACGCUGAUGUGUAGGUGAAGCCCCUGCGGGCGGAGCUGAAAUCAGUCGAAGAUACCAGCUGGCUGCAACUGUUUAUUAAAAACACAGCACUGUGCAAACACGAAAGUGGACGUAUACGGUGUGACGCCUGCCCGGUGCCGGAAGGUUAAUUGAUGGGGUUAGCGGCAACGCGAAGCUCUUGAUCGAAGCCCCGGUAAACGGCGGCCGUAACUAUAACGGUCCUAAGGUAGCGAAAUUCCUUGUCGGGUAAGUUCCGACCUGCACGAAUGGCGUAAUGAUGGCCAGGCUGUCUCCACCCGAGACUCAGUGAAAUUGAACUCGCUGUGAAGAUGCAGUGUACCCGCGGCAAGACGGAAAGACCCCGUGAACCUUUACUAUAGCUUGACACUGAACACUGGUCCUUGAUGUGUAGGAUAGGUGGGAGGCUUUGAAGCGUGGACGCCAGUCUGCGUGGAGCCAACCUUGAAAUACCACCCUUUAAUGGCUGGUGUUCUAACGU
rnacentral:rRNA from 1 species